AUGAGGGGAGGCUGCUGGGCUCACCCACGGGGGCUGCUCCACAUCCACGCGCAGCCCGGCCCUCCUGCCCCUGCUCCUGCACGACCGACGUGGAGGCGAGGCCUCGGCACGCCAAGCGUACAGAUCUCUAUCCAAAAUGAGCCAGUUCUGGGAUGGACAACAGCAAUCAAGAAGAUGACUGUACGUCACAGAAGUGAUGGGGAGAGGCUGCCAGAAGAGGCUGGUGGGCAAUUCAAGAGAAAAGGGACAUCCCUCUGUCUUUCGGAUUGGAAUAAUGAACAGAAAUGAAGAAGAGGAGAUACUGUCAUAUGAGGGAAGCAUUUCAUCUACAGCCAGCCAUUUACAGGUGGUGACCUCCACGUUCACCUCCAUCUAUGUGAUGGUAAAAGUGACACUUGGAAGAAAAGGGAAUUUGUUUCCUACAGCUGUGGCAUAAAGCUGUGUCAAUACAGCCACCACUGCAUACAUCCAUCAUUUUAGAGGUACCAACCAAUAUUUUUCUCCUUAUCUUUCUUCCUUUGUCUCUACUCCACACUAGGGUCUUUGUGAUGGCGCAGUGCGUCUGUGCCCACUUCUAUAGCUUGCAGGUCUAAUUGCUGAAUGAUCCUCUACCACGUACUACAUUCUCAAAUGGUUUUGUGCUCCUAGUUCCUCUCAGAGAAGAUUUCAAAAGCCAUGGCCUUUUGGAGAAUAAGCUGAACAGAAGGAGCUGAAGGCCCAAAUGCCACUUUGCAACCCUUCCUGAUGCUUGAAUGCGGGACUGGGAAUCUGCCACAUUUAUAUCCUUCAUAUAUUUUUCUCUGUUUUUUCCUAAACUUCACCAGUUUGGAAAUAACAUUCAAACAGCCCUUCUAUCUAUGUUUAGUUAUUAAGGUUUGGCAACCCAUCAAGGACUGAGGUAUAGCACAUAACCAUCUGAAGAACAUCAUCUCAAUAUUCUAAAUACACUAAGAACAUCAUUUGACCUGGGGAAUAGCUUUGGUUCAGGAAAAGUCUGAUGAGCUUUUACUGCCUUAUGCCACAGAAGGAAGAGUUCAGUUAGACCACCCAAAAUACUGCACACUAAGGCAUGUUGGUUGGCAGAAGAAAGUUGCUCUCCACAAGCCUUUAUGUACGAUGUAUUUGCUAUUUCUACCUGAAUCUCUUUAGGGAACACCAGAGUUUGCAAGCAAUUCAACCCUUUAUCUGUACAGUAAGCCAUCAUCUUGGUUCUUGCAGAAGACCUAGAAACUCUACAUUUAAAAUCAUUCAUGGCUGUAGUCCCACAGAAUUUGAAAGACCUAUUCUGUAUAGAAUUUCUGAGGCAUCACCCCAGAUGUUGCUGGGAAUCUCUGUGUGUGUG